rnacentral:lncRNA from 1 species
GGGAGGGUGGUGAGUGUGCAAAGGGGUGUGCAAGGGGGAUGAGUGUGCAUGGGGGGGUGCACGUAGGGGUGGCGGUAGUGGUGUGCAGGUGCACGUGGGUGAGUGUGCAAGGGUGGGUGGGUGCACGUGGGCAUGCAUGUGCUCGUGGGUGGGUGUGCACAGGUGUGUGAGUGCACGUGGGUGUGCGCAUGGGUGUGCAUGUGCACCAUGCGGGUGUGUGCACAGGUGUGGGUGUGCAUGUGGGUGAGUGUGCACAGGUGUGGGUGUGCGUGCACGGGUGUGGGUGUGCACGUGGGCGUGCAUCUCCACAUAGGAAAGUGAGAGUGCACACGUGUGUGAGUGCACGUGGGUGUGCACAUGGGUGUGCAUGUGCACCAUGCGAGUCUGUGCACAGGUGUGGGUGUGCAUGUGGGUGAGUGUGCACAGGUGUGGGUGUGCACGUGGGCGUGCAUCUGCACAUGGGUAAGUGAGAGUGCACACGUGUGUGAGUCCACGUGGGUGUGCACAUGAGUGUGCAUGUGCACCACGUGGGUCUGUGCACAGGUGUAGGUGUGCAUAUGGGUGAGUGUGCACAGGUGUGGGUGUACACUGGGAAGUGUGUGUGUGCACGGGUAUCUGUGCAUUGGGGAGUGUGUUUGCACAUGGGGGGGUGUGCAGGUCUGUGGAGGGAUGUGGGUGUGCACACAGGUGUGCACACUCAAGUGUGAGCGCACUUCUGCACGGUUGUGCGUGCACGGAGGUGGUUGUGCACGUGGGUGUGCAUUGGGGUGGGUGUGCACGGAUAUGUGUGAGUGCACAUGGGUGUGCACAGAGAUGGGCGUGUGCAUGCAGAGAGAUCUGUGUGGGCACAUGGGUGUGCAUUGGGGUGCACGCACCUGGGUGUGUGCAUGGGAUGUGUGCACACGGGUGGAUGUGCAAGGCUGUGGGUGUGCACUUGAGUGUGAACACAAAUGUGCGUGCACAGGUGACGGUGUGCUACCGCACAUGGCUUCGCAUGCACAGAUGUGUGCGUGUGCACGUGGGUGUGCACACGGGGGUGUGCACCAGUUUGGGUGUGGAUGGGGGCAGACGUGCAAGGGGGUGGGUGUGCACGGAGGUGGGUGUGCACAUGGGUGUGCACGGCGAUGUGAGCACCUGUGUGAGUGUGCAUGUGUGCAAGGAUGUGUGUGCAUGGUUGUGCAUGCAUGUGGGAGUGUGUGCACGUUUGUGCAUGCGUGCUUGGAUAUGUGUGUGCAUGGGAUAUAUGUGCACAGUUGUGUGUGCACAUGGGCGUGCGGGCACGUUUGUGCACGUGUGCAGGGACGUGUGUGCACGUGGGUGUGUGUACAUGGGGUAUGUGUGCAUGGUUGUGCGUGCACGUGGGUGUACGUGCACGUUUGUGCAUGUGUGCUUAGAUGUGUGCGUGUGCAUGGGAUUUGUGCACACUUGUGCGUGCGCAUGGGUGUGCGGGCACAUUUGUGCACGUGUGCAUGGUUGUGUGUGCAUGUGGGCCUGUGUACAUGGGAUAUGUGUACAUGGUUGUGCACACACGUGGGAGCACAUGCACGUUUGUGCAUGUGUGCUUGGAUGUGUGUGUGCAUGGGAUUUGUGCACACUUUUGCGUGCACAUGGGUGUGCAUGCACAUUUGUGCACAUGUGCAUGGUUGUGCGUGCACGUGGGCGUGUGUGCAUGGGAUAUGUGUGCAUGGUUGUGCGUGCACGUGGGCGUGUGCAUGGAUGUGUGUGUGCACGGCGGUGGUGGGUGCGCGUGCACGGGUGUAGGUGUGCACGGGGGCGUGCACGGGGCCACACGCACUUGGGUUCCCUCGGGUGCGUGUGCACGGGGGUGUGCACGUGGGGUGCGGGUGUAGGUGUGCACUUGGGGGGGGCUGUGUGCACAGACGUGCACGGGGGUGCCCACGUGAGUGUGACAAUGGUGACAAUGGGGGUGUGUGUGUGGGGGGGGGUGCACACUGGGGCCAGUGGUCACCAUGGCGACCGCAUCCCUGGGUUUGGGUGGCAGCGGUCGCCGUGGCAACCGAGAUGCGAC